AUUGAACGCUGGCGGCGUGCCUAACACAUGCAAGUCGAGCGGUAACAGGUGUAGCAAUACAUGCUGACGAGCGGCGAACGGGUGAGUAAUGCUUCGGAAUCUGCCCAUGUAGUGGGGAAUAACCAGCCGAAAGGUUGGCUAAUACCGCAUACGACCUACGGGUGAAAGCAGGGGAUCGCAAGACCUUGCGCUAUUGGAUGAGCCGAAGUCGGAUUAGCUUGUUGGUAGGGUAACGGCCUACCAAGGCGACGAUCCGUAGCUGGUCUGAGAGGACGACCAGCCACACUGGGACUGAGACACGGCCCAGACUCCUACGGGAGGCAGCAGGUGGGGAAUAUUGGACAAUGGGGGCAACCCUGAUCCAGCGACGCCGCGUGUGU
rnacentral:rRNA from 1 species